AGUGACUCAGUGUCUCUUCCUGCUGCCUGUGGGUCCAGAUGGAGAACUCCCAGCUACCUCUCCAGAACCAUAUCUACAGGCAUGCUGCCAUGUUUCCCACCAUUAUGAUAAUGGACUAAACCUCUGAACUGUAAGCCAGCCCCAAGAAAGAAGGCUUGCUCCAAAAUAAAUUGCAAUGAUUUGGAAGCUAAGCUUUAACAUGAAGCUCAAUACAAGUGUCUGCAGAAGCAUGGUAAGUAGAGAUUUCUGGAGAGCUGGAUAUGGAACUGUGCAGAUUGGAUACAGGACUACCAUCUGAAAUAUUGCCAUAGCUACAGAAAGAGAUCCAGGUUAUCUUCUGCUUUGUCAGGGAAGAAGACAGCCAUAUGCAUUAAGUGAGAUACUACCUGUUGCCUGCGAGUCAAGAUGUAGGACUCUUAGCUCCUGCUUAGUUCCAGUUCCAUGUCUGCCUGCAUGCCACCAUGUCACACCAUAAUGAGAAGGGACUAAAUCUCUGAAAAUGCACUGAGCCAUCUUGUCUGCCAUGGACACCGCUUGCUGUCUGUCAUUAUGGCACUAGCUCCUGGCUAGAGGUCCAGGUUUUUCAUCAGAAAGCCAUCUUCCUGUCUCCCAAACACAUGUGGCUUUCGACAGAAUGGCUGAUCUUCAAGGCUAUUAGAAGAAGACGUUUCCUACCCGUGAGAACAAGACAGAGAGUGCUUGGCAAGCGGACACCACACUCUAAGUUUAGUCUUCGGGAUGAAUCAUCUAGGGAGACCGGCCCUUGCUCUUGGUUGUCGGUUGCUUUAUUUUUAGAAAAUCUGAAUUCCAGUGAAAUCCAUUUGGCGGCACAUAAUCGGUGUGGCUUUGAUCCAAACUAGGUAAUUAGAGGUCAGCUGGAGGCG
rnacentral:lncRNA from 1 species